rnacentral:other from 1 species
AGGCGUCUGCGGUGCGCACCGGGCUUUUAUGUCCUUGAACCAAUGCUCAUAUGAGCUCGGGCUUGGAAAUUUCCUGGGGAGCGUGAACGUCUCGCGUCAGAUGAUCCCAACUCCGGGCUGACCUCGCCCACCUGAACCGCCGGUUCAGGCUGCGGCCCGGUGGCAUCUGCAGACACCUU